UACGGCUACCUUGUUACGACUUCACCCCAGUCAUGAAUCUCACCGUGGUAAGCGCCCUCCCGAAGGUUAAGCUACCUACUUCUGGUGAAACCCACUCCCAUGGUGUGACGGGCGGUGUGUACAAGACCCGGGAACGUAUUCACCGCAGCAUGCUGAUCUGCGAUUACUAGCGAUUCCGACUUCACGUAGUCGAGUUGCAGACUACGAUCCGGACUACGAUCGGCUUUAAGGGAUUGGCUCCACCUCGCGGCUUGGCAACCCUCUGUACCGACCAUUGUAUGACGUGUGAAGCCCUAUCCAUAAGGGCCAUGAGGACUUGACGUCAUCCCCACCUUCCUCCGGUUUGUCACCGGCAGUCUACUAGAGUGCCCAACCAAAUGAUGGCAACUAGUGACAAGGGUUGCGCUCGUUGCGGGACUU
rnacentral:rRNA from 1 species